rnacentral:rRNA from 1 species
AUUGAACGCUGGCGGCAGGCCUAACACAUGCAAGUCGAGCGGAGCGGCGGACGGGGGAGUAAGGCUUAGGCAUCUGCCUGGUCGUGGGGGAGAACGGCAGGAAACGGGCGCUAAUACCGAUUACUAUCCGAUGAGCCUAAGGGGGAUUAGCUAGUUGGUGGGGUAAGGGCCUACCAAGGCGACGAUCCGUAACUGGUCUGAGAGGAUGAUCAGUCACACUGGAACUGAGACACGGUCCAGACUCCUACGGGAGGCAGCAGUGGGGAAUAUUGGACAAUGGGCGAAAGCCUGAUCCAGCCAUGCCGCGUGUGUGAAGAAGGUCUUCGGAUUGUAAAGCACUUUAAGUUGGGAGGCGUUACCAACAGAAUAAGCACCGGCUAACUUCGUGCCAGCAGCCGCGGUAAUUC